GACGAACGCUGGCGGCGUGCUUAACACAUGCAAGUCGAACGGAAAGGCCCUGCUUUUGUGGGGUGCUCGAGUGGCGAACGGGUGAGUAACAUGUGAGUAACCUGCCCUUGACUUUGGGAUAACUUCAGGAAACUGGGGCUAAUACCGGAUAGGAGCUCCUGCUGCAUGGUGGGGGUUGGAAAGUUUCGGCGGUUGGGGAUGGACUCGCGGCUUAUCAGCUUGUUGGUGGGGUAGUGGCUUACCAAGGCUUUGACGGGUAGCCGGCCUGAGAGGGUGACCGGCCACAUUGGGACUGAGAUACGGCCCAGACUCCUACGGGAGGCAGCAGUGGGGAAUAUUGCACAAUGGGCGGAAGCCUGAUGCAGCAACGCCGCGUGCGGGAUGACGGCCUUCGGGUUGUAAACCACUUUCGCCUGUGACGAAGCGUGAGUGACGGUAAUGGGUAAAGAAGCACCGGCUAACUACGUG
rnacentral:rRNA from 1 species